UAGCAUUACGUGAAAGCUCACUAAAUUGCUGUUGUAUUAUUUUGAGCGGGCUCAAGUUUCACUGAUCUUCCGCAGGUCAUCUCCGACUGGGAACCAUUGUGGAGAACAGUAACUUUGAGCUCACUGGUGACAGAGAGAAGAUGAAGGAUGGUGUGCUGAGCAGUAUCUCUGCCCUUGACAAGUUUGAACAGAGUGUUAAAGACUGUUUAGGUGUUUAAAUUUUUUUUUGGCUGGGUCCCAUCAAUUUUUCUAAGGUUUUAAAAUGAAUUAUUGUUUUUAUGUUCCUAAUAUUCCGGUGGUAAGGUUUCAUUUGCCUUUGCUCAUCAGGGCCUUUUGUUGUAGAACACACAUUAUGCAUUUGAUUUGAUCCUCGCAAAAAAAAUGCAUUUGAUUUGAUAUAUGUUACUUAUGGUAAAAAU